AAACAUUCAUCACUUCUGCUGGAGCAUAGCUCAUGGUACACAUUAGGAAAUUUCCAGUAGCUGCAAGAACAAUACAAACAGAAAUCAGUAAAGGUCUCUGUGUUACAAGUGCAUCUGAAGGACGCUCUGUGAGGCAACCCCCCAGGAGCUGCCAAAGCAGGUUUCUGUCAGAAGAUGAAAGUAAGCUUCUUCUCUGAAAAUGAACUGCUUUGUAGGAAAAAGGAAGCAAAAACAUUUUUCUUCCCAUCAGCUCAUUUCCUUCCUAAACUAACUCCAUCAUUUCCUAAGCCUACCUAGCACCUUUCUAUUUAAUAAGUUUAUCUGCAAAGUGCUUAAUUCUGCUGCUUCUCCAAUUCUCGGAGGUAGGCAAUCUAAGACUAUUUGCAAAUACCCUUUGAACUGAAGUGAUGAGAGACUGCAAUUAAUCAAAAGGUUGAAUCUAUAGAAAAGCCCUAUUAAAAUCUUGGGAACUGCUGAGGAGGUAAUGGCUAACUGUUCCCAAGGGGAUGAAAAAUAAUAAAGAAACAAAAACUAUUUAGGAAUCCUAUUAACAAAAUGUAUCAGACUGUAUAUGAAACUGUAUAAAAAGAUUUCAAAGCCAAAUGAGGCUUUGAGGAAAAAAAAAAACUUGGUAUUGUUUUGGUUUCUUUGUAUAAAUGCAUAGUCAGGCAUUCAUACUUCAACUGAAUGUGUGUCUUAUUUUCUGCCUGACCUCCAUCUCAUUCAGAAAGAUUGUCCCCAUAAAGUCAUUCUCCUGCCUUUCAGCAGGAUAGUUUUUAUCCUACUCUGUCAGUACCUUGAGAAAAGUACCCCUAAGGAAAUCAAUGAAAGAAAGGGCAACUGCUUGUAUUUUGGAGCACAGGGCUUAAAAUAUCUCCUCCGCCACUGUUUGCCAAUGCCACCAGCGAAGCAAGGAUAACAGCAGCUUCUUCCUGCCUUGUUCAGUGUGCAGGAUUGUUAUUUAGAAUUCAGUAUCUGCAGCAGCAGGGUGCUGACAUCCUCUGUCAUUUUCAGAUGUUGCAUGGAACAUAAGGAGCAGCCAGUGUGUUGGGGGAGGGCUAGGAGGGGGUGUGGUGUCAUGAGCCAUUGGGUUGGAGGGAGUCACGAAGAAACCUGUCCCAAGAAUGAGGAGCAACAAAGAGCUGGACAGAGGUACUAUUUCAACUCCUGCCUCCCACUUUUGAAAAGAGAGAAAGUAAGGAUUUAAGGACUUCCUAAACCACAUACGAGACAAAACAUACUGUGAAAAUGAAUCAUGUUUUCUUCUACCUCAUUAGACAAGGAGAUUUUCUUGGAAAGAAAUUCUUGAAAAUAUCAUUGCAGGAUAAUUGCUCUCAUGCACAGCUUUCUCUUUCAGUUGUCCAAAAUCCUGUGCAGGCUCUAUACCACUGUCUUGUUCAAAACUGUAUUUUCUUCUAACCUUAUUGUAACUUCUGCUUUUUACUUUCUAGGCUGUAACUGAAGUCUGAAAGCACUCAGCUGUUAUGGUGGGAUCUGUGUUAAACACACAAAAAAGAAAUCACUGCGAUCUCUCAAGACAGACUGAUUGAUAUCUUAGACUACCUGACAAAUAACACGUUGUCUCAAAGCAAGGCCUUUAAGAUCUUCUACUGAUAAUACUCAUGAUAAUUAAAGGCCAUGGCCACUGUGAUUAGCCUAGAUUCUUUCACACACAAAAAAAUAAAGCCAACUUCUACUGGCUUUUGGUCAGUUAGUACCUCAGUAAGCCAUAGUUCCAAAAGCCUUGUGUCAUGGUGGAAGCUGUCACCUCCCUCUGGGUGACAAUGAAGCACAGGCACAGUUCUACAUGACCUGAUUUGAUAUUACCAGGUGGUAACACACUAACAAAAUCCACAGGACAACUUGAUCUCACAGAUGCAUCUCUGCCUUGAUGGUAUAUAAAUUUAAAGUGAAGGGCAGCACUUCUUAAUUACUUACAUUGUUUAUUUUAAUGUAGCUUACAGCUUUCAUUUUUAAACCAGAAAUGGAAGGACAUAGUUUCUCUCAAGACAGCAGGUUUGUGUUUUUAAAAGAUUUUAAAUUAAUACAUGUAUUUACUCACUGUAGCAGAAAUGCUAAGUAAGUCACAGUCUGAACCAGUGACUGAGCACCCAGUGGGAAGGCAGGGCCAACACAGGGGAGCUCAGGUGCAUGCAAUGUACCUGAGUGAGCAGAAGGGGUGGAGCCAGGAUCCACCCCUUCCCAAACCUCAUUUAAGGGUUGGCAGUGGAGGUAGGGAUUUUUUGCUGGAGAUCCCUGCCUCCCAGAGGUCUUCUGAAGUCGGAUUGAUUCGGUGUCUGAAUACACAUUGUACCAUGAGGAUCCUCUUACCCUGAGCCAAAGUCUGUCAAAGUCAAUUCCAACAGCUGAUGAGGCCCUUCAGAUACCACUUGGAUAAAGAGGAUGAAUGCCAGCAGGCCCUUAACAAAGCAGUGGGUUGCAGCAUGCUGCUCGAAGAAGACAGGAAGGAUAGGUCAGUUUUUUCCUUGAAAUCCCAUCAUGGCAACUUCUGCAUUUGAUGAGUAUUACCAGCACAGAUAGACGCACCAUGGAGGGAAUCCCAGCCACACAGAAAAAAUGUGUACACAGUCAUCACUAUCUUUGGAUUCACCUCUGCAAGAUCUGGAAGAGCACACACUCAGGAAGCAGUUCUUCUUGCCAUGGAUACAGCAUCCCCAUUUGCCAUGGAAAGAGGACUUUGUUGGCUUUUGGACUGGUACCCAAAACUGGCACAUUAGCUCUGCCCCUGCCCACCAUAAUUUCACCUAAUACCCUCUUUACUAAGAUUCAGUCUUCAAGAUGUGUAGCAGUCCUGUCACACCAGUUUUAUGCAUGCAUUUUGAUCUUUCCACAGCAGAGACAAGUGUCUUUAAUGUGUAAAUUCACCUUUGAAAUGUCAAGACCACUUUACCAACUGUUAAAAGUUGUAAUUAAUAUUUGUAAGGGCUAAUAGCUAGCAUGCAUAAUCGAGGACUUAUCAGCUAACAUUUACAUUCUUCCUUCUGUUUGCAUUUUUAGAAAUAAUCAACUAAGACUAUUAUUGACCUGAAAACUGCCUGUCAUUCUGCUACUACAUAAUAGUCACAGAAUACACAUUUCAAAGCCACGGUUUAACAGAAAUACUUAAAACCUGACAACUUAUGAUGAUUCAACAAGAUGAGAAAAAGACAAGGGCUCAAUCUCCAAACCCUGAUCAGUGGGUGAGCAUUUCAUAAGCCUGAGCAAACAGGAGAGAUCAUUGCGAAGAAGUGCUUGAGUUGAUUUGCAUUGCUCUCAAUUAGGGAAGGUAGUCCAGCCAACCACUACUCCAGCAUUACUGACAAGGACAACAAUUUGAUUUCUAGAAGCACUACCUGACUGAAAGAUUCUGUGAUUAGGAACUGCCACUCCUUUUGGACACAAAAGGGGAAUCUUCACCUUGAAGUUCUGGGAUGCAGGUGGACUUGCUAGAUUCUUUCAGGGUCCAGUUCACUACAGUGUCAUCACUGACUUGCUGAGCAUCACCCAGGUCCUUGAAGACAUUCAGCAUGUACCUGAACAGUGGCAGAGAAAACAAGAUUUGGCUCAGAUCCUGGGCUAAGACCCAGCAAGCACACAGCCUGGAGGGAACAUGAACUCAUAGCAACACGCAAAGUCUUCAUGUAGUCUCAGCUCUGCUUUUUUUUUUUUUUUUUAAUUAUUUUAUUUUUCACCCCUUCAGCAAAAAGGAAGAGCCAUCUAUUGUAUCUGUAGUGCAAUUUCUGUUAAAUCAUUUAACCUCUAAUUCCUCUCACUUCGUUUCAUAUUCAGACAUUACUAGUGGACUGGAAAUUAUUCAGCCUGUAAAUACCAAGUUAAAAUAGAAAGAAUAACACUGCUUCUCCCUUGUUUGAGGGGAUUGCACUGGUUGUGCAAAUGCAGGGUGUGGAAAACACUGCCUAGUGGAUGAACUAGGGAGUAUUCUAGGUUACAUGACACUUAUUACUUUGCACAAGAAACUGGUAUUAGGCAGAGAGAAUGGCGUUGAAUCCUCUUGUUGAAGGAAAUAUUGGAUGACUUUAGCUUUGAAGAGCUUUCUUCCCUUGGCUGUAAGUGAGCGAACUAGAAAAAGCCACAGUAAAUCUUUCUAUUGCUGGGGAACAAAUGAGAAACUGUACUACAGAGAGUAUGGAAAAAGAAAAGCAAGCCCUUAUGACCUUAAGAACAUAAUAAAGAUGGUCAGGCCAGAGGAAGUCUGGGCAAAAACAAGGGACUGUGGAAGUUGCCUGUCAUGAUGACUAGUGGGAAGUAGAACAUGCACGAAGAAAAUGAGACAAUAGCUGGAAAUAUGUAGACACUGCUAAGACUAACCUUGAGCCACAUCCUUAUUUAGGGACUAACAACAAUUGAUGUUUAAUAUUCUAGUCCAAUGGCAAUGUUUUCCCUUAUCUUAGAGAAUCUGUUAUUCAUUUGUUUGAAUGCAUGUAAGCAUACAAACCUAAAGACAGGAUUGGGUUUAGCCUCGAGGCUUCUUCACAAGUAUAUGUUCUCAACAGACAGCAAAUGCUAAAGCUAGAAUUGUUUCAGAGUCUGCUUUGACACUUUCCACAUGACUCUUCUAGCAUGUUCCAGUCAUCAAACAACAUAUACAACCUUCAGUCAUCUUCUAAGUGACCUAUUUAGGAGCAAUUUCAGCAUGAAUAUAAAUUCAGUGAAAAUGUAAAUAUGCAUUCAACAGUUGCUGGAUGAAAUGGUGGGUGGUGAGAAGAAAGGGAGUUUCCAUCUGUCUAGCCUUACAGGUGAAGUUGGAGACAUCAAUUAUGAAUGGAUGCACUGCAUAAGACCUCCCAGUUGCCGGGAAAGUC
ensembl:lncRNA